UACGAAGGGGGCAAGCGUUACUCGGAAUUACUGGGCGUAAAGCGUGCGUAGGCGGUUUGUUAAGUCUGUCGUGAAAGCCCCGGGCUCAACCUGGGAAUGGCGAUGGAAACUGGCGAGCUAGAGUACGGUAGAGGAGAGUGGAAUUCCCGGUGUAGCAGUGAAAUGCGUAGAGAUCGGGAGGAACAUCAGUUGCGAAGGCGGCUCUCUGGACCAGUACUGACGCUGAGGCACGAAAGCGUGGGGAGCAAACAGG
rnacentral:rRNA from 1 species